AGUGUGAUGAGCUGGAUCUCGCCCUUGGUGAUUGGAAGUGACCUACCUCUUGCUGCUAGAUGAAAUAGCUCCAUGCAAUGGGCUAUAAAAAGCCCUAACGGAUAAUUUUCCAGUUGGGAUGGGUCACCACCGUGGCCACCUCCAUUGGCUCUUAUCAUUUCUGCCACGGUUCCGUGCGCGUUUCGUUUGACCUGGGUAUAAUGAGCAAAGCAGACUAAAGUAGCUGCAGCCACAAUCAGCAAUGAUCUGCUGAAGCUGAUGAAUAUGCCAAGACUGCAAACACUUCCCAUCUCCUGAGACUCUUCCCAAGGUUUUGCUGGAAUGACUCAGCUGGAGCCCAAGCCCAAACCCCUGUGCUGAUGCUCUGCACUGCUUCCCAUGCAUGGCUCACGCUGCAGGCAUCUCAUCUAGGAUGCUGCCAUCGCACUUGUUCCCUUCCUUGGUACGGGGGAGUUUGUGCUGCUGCUAAAGGAAGAGUAAAUAUUCCCAUCGGACACAGAGCCAGAAGCACAGCCAGUGGAUAAGAAGGAAAGACCACAUUGCAGGUGAUCUUCCCCACGGUCCCAUUUGCAUCGCUGCUUGGUACAACAGAGCAAUGAAUUCUGAGCUGUCACAACAUUUUGUAUGUUUUUCUCUGAUUAUUCUUCAUUGCU